rnacentral:rRNA from 1 species
AGCGAACGUUAGCGGCGGGCUUAACACAUGCAAGUCGAACGCGAAAGGGAUUCGUCCCCAGUAGCGUGGCGUCCGGGUGAGUAACACAUAGGAAACCUUGCCUAGAGUGGGGGAUAACGUCCCGAAAGGGACGCUAAUACCGCAUAAGCCCACGUCGGCCUCGGCCGAUGCGGGAAAAGAUGGCCUCUGAAUUCAAGCUAUCGCUCAAGGAUGGUCCUGCGACGCAUCAGCUAGUUGGUGGGGUAACGGCCUACCAAGGCGAAGACGCGUAGCUGGUCUGAGAGGAUGAUCAGCCACACUGGCACUGAAACACGGGCCAGACUCCUACGGGAGGCAGCAGUGGGGAAUAUUGGACAAUGGGCGCAAGCCUGAUCCAGCCACGCCGCGUGAGUGAUGAAGGCCUCGGUUG